UUGGUAGGCUUGUUGUGGUCAAGGAAC
rnacentral:piRNA from 1 species